ensembl:lncRNA
AAGUAUUUCAUCUUUUAUUUCAAAACAAGGAAGGAUACCAAGAAGCAGAAGAGUGAAAGCAGUUAAAACCAGCAAAGCUGCAAAGUAGGAAAGAAAGUAGAAAGGGAGAAAUGAUCCGAUUUCAGUGAUAUGGUUGCUUAAUGCAAACACAGGGCUCUGAUGCCGCAGACCUAAGUCACGUUAAGUCCAAGGACUUUGGCAGACUGGCUGAUCCAUCAGAGCCACAGGGCUGGGCCCCUUCUCUGCUCAAGUUGAACUUUACACAUUCUAGACACAUGUCAUGCACAUACAGGUUACACUUUAUGGUUACAUGAAAUUGCAUGCAAUUCACACAGAGAAUCAUUUUGAAGGCACUGUAUUGUGUGCAGCAGGAGCUGCUACUUUCUGGCAAGUCCUUCCUAAGUUGUCUUGCAAGGGGUCCUCCUUUUUAUUUGUUUGUAUUUGAAACUUUGGUGCAAAACCCAGGUGCCAUCUAAAUCCCACCUACCCUGCCAACUAUUUUGGUUUCUUCAACCUCUCUUCCACCUCCCCUUUUUUGUCUUUUUAGGGCCGAACCCAGGGCAUAUGGAGGUUCCCAGACUAGGGGUUGAAACCACAGCCAUAGCCACAUCAGAUCCAAGCUGCAUCUGCGAGCUACACCACAGCUCACAGAAACACCGGAUCCUUAACCCACUGAGCGAGGCCAGGGAUUGAACUUGCAUCCUCAUAGAUCCUAGUCAGAUUCGUUUCUACAGAGCCACGACAGGAACGCCCACUUCCCCUUUCUAAAAGCAGGUGCCAAGCUUGGAAGGUAAUGUUUCCUGACAAGAUCUCCUUUUAUUUGGCUUUACAGAUGAUUUGAGUCAAGCAGCAAUGUACAAUUUUUUUUUUUUUGGCCACACCCACGGCGUGGGACGUUUCCAGGCCAGGGACCAAAUGCGACCCACAGCUGUGACGAUGCUGAGUCCUUAACCACUAGGCCACCAGGAACUCCUAUGAUUGGUUGCUUUAAAACAAGGUGCUACCAGUUUCUUUUACUCCUGAAAUUCAGCAAGGCUGAUAACUUAGAAAUUCCAUGAGAUAAAAUACAAAAGAUUCUGUAUGCAUAUUAAAUAAUUUCUAACUCCAAUUAAAAUAUGUUCUUGGAUAUGCUUAAGUCAACCUUAGCUUUUUUUUUUUUUUUUUUUUAAAAUUUUGUAGCAAAGCAAGAUAACAUGGGAGACUAACCCAUUUAGACCACCAGAAGUUCACUUUCAUUUUUAAAAUUUUUUGGGUGUCCCUUGUGGCAUGUAGAAAGUUCCUGGGCCAGGGACUGAACCCGAGCUAGUUUCGACCUGCACCACAGCCUCGGCAAAGCCAGAUCCUUAACCUGCUGCACCGCAAAGGAACUUCCAGAAAUCCACUUUCAGAUUUUACCAACUGAGCUCUUCCACUGGAUGCUGUUGGCCUAUCAGCUGGGCAGGUGUGAAAGAAACAAUGCAUGCCUUUCUCCAAUCACAAAGGUUCGUCCCUGACUCUCUUCUUGCUUCUCAAAAGCAAGAAAAAAAGCACCAAAAAAGCCUCCAGUCAUUCACUCAUAUGCUCACUCCAGAGGGUCAGCAGAAAGCACGAUGGAACUGGUGUUUGUUCAAGGUCAAGUGAAAGGUUUUGGAAACUCCUCCCAGAGAUGGGGCAACGCAAAGUUCUGCACUGAACCUCCCUGGGUCAACCUCUGCCUGAAGUCCUGCCGGCCUCCAGCACAGCGGCAGCUAGCCCUAACUCAUCCACUCUCUCUACCCAGCUACGGGCCAGAGUCCUGCAGGCUGCAGGGAAGCUCCCUCAUUCAGUCUGAUCUAGCAAACCAAAAAAAAAAGGAUUUCUACAAAAAUGUGCAAAUGUUAUAACUGAGUUUUGAAUAUUCUGCAUCAGCUACAGUUGUCUCAAGAUAGUCUUCCAUCUCAUUCACUUGUUAGAAACACUUCAUUUUCCAAAGAAAAAACAUACAUCAUGAAAAGCAUGUCCUGUUACUAACAGAGUGAGCUCUACAACACACAUGCCAACCGACCAAGAACAGAAUAAAAGAAUGUCUGCAAAACAGGACUCAUCUUUUCUGAUCCCAAACUUUCCCAUUGCUACCUCUGACUUCGUGCCAAUGUUCUUCUCCUUAAGAUCAAGAAACAACCAAGAGCAACACGCACCCAGAUGGCAUGAGAGUCACCUGGCCUGGCAAGAAAUUGUGGUCAGGCUUCGGGAUUAAAAUCAAGGACCUGGGAAGGAAUGACAGCUUUUGUCUGCUAGUAAGCAGGGCAGAGAGGGAAGGGCAUUGGUUUUCCUCUCAAGGAUGACAGUGACAGGACAAACCACAGCACCACGGCAGGCACUGAAGUGCAUUCCUCAAGAAACAAAGACCUGCUUCACUCCAUCCAGCUCUGGGGUGUUUACUUCAAGAGCCCCUAGGCCAGAAAAAAGUCAAAAGGCCUUUGUCACUGAUACAUCCUAAGUGGAGCACCGGGCUCAUGUCUCACUGAUGCCACCACGUUAUCCUUAUCAGGGUGUGGGGACAGAAGNNNNNNNNNNNNNNNNNNNNNNNNNNNNNNNNNNNCCUGCUGAGAUGGCUGUAGACACCAGCAGGGGACCCUGGAGCAGCAGCUAACACAGCACUAACACUGCCGCCGGCACGACUGAUCUCCAAACUGUCAUUUCAUCGACUUUUCCCUAUUGUUCACACCUGAGAUGCAUGUUUUUCAGUGAACAGGGUCUAAGAUUUUGAAACAAUUAAAAGCUGCACCUAAGAUCAGAGAGCAAAACUCAGACCCUUUUCUCCUUUGCUUGGACUGGAAAGAAAGGAAAGCAGUGGCUGCAGAGCGCACAGUGGGUGACGAAACGCAGAGCUGGGUGUCAGGCGCAGGAGCAACCUCAGAGACACAGCCCGAGAGGAUGCGGACCAGCCCGGCAGUCUGAUAGCCGGUCCCACCGGGGACCAGCCCACUGCCCACAAAGGGAGGCAUGAGCCGGCAAAGCUCAUCUAGGAACGGGGUGGGGCAAAAUGGAUUCAGAAUCUCUGAACAGUGUUUAUUACUUUCAAACAUGUGAGGAUCAAAUACCAUCCCCUAAAAUUCAACUUUAGCAACUGAAACCUGUGACAAUGAGAUAGCUAUGAUGAGGAAAACAAAUUCUAAACUCCUAGCUCAGACCUGAAACCCCUGGCCCUAGGUAAUGAAUAGGUAGAAAAAGACAGUGAGGCCAGAUUUUACUAUGUGCUUCUGAAUAUCUAAACCCUCCCAAUACUUUUCUCACGGGGAAGUGAUUCUCCCCAAAAACUUCAGGGAUAAAGUCAGUGCCUUCCACCAACACUGUGGGGUCCAGAACUUAGGUCUAUAUAAAUUCAUCAGCCCUGCUUUCAGGUGCCUGACCCCUGGUACCAGGGGCACUGGGUGGCCUGGCAGCAUUGGCAGUCAGAGGGGCUCGCGAUGGCAGCACUCAGUCUACCACCAAGGAUAGAUACACCUGACUUACGUGUGUCCAGGGAAACCCCGAAACAUUUUAAACACCUAAUGUUGACCCCUGUCCUGGGAACCUCCAUGUGCCUCAGAUGUGGCUCUUUAAAAAAAAAAAUUGACACCUAAUGUCACAGCAGGCAGAACAGACCAAGCUUACACCCAAGUUCUACCUGGUUACUGACAAUAAAACCCCCCAAUUGGUACUUCUCACCUCAAACUUUAAUGAAACAAAUAGAAAAAUGCCUUUAAAGAAGGGACUCAGACUGAGGUUCCACAGACAUAACUAUGAAACAUCACAAGCUUUAUGAACCACAUCUUAAAAAGCCUCCUGUGACACAAGCCUUUUGUAUGGUUAAAAAAGCUUAUGUUGUAAAGUGUAAGCCAAGACCCUACCUUCUGUUUCUACAGAUUUGAAUGGAAACGUUGGAACCUGUUUGAGAACUAAACAUUC